rnacentral:rRNA from 1 species
GAUGAACGCUGGCGGCGUGCCUAAUACAUGCAAGUCGAGCGAACAGACGAGGAGCUUGCUCCUCUGACGUUAGCGGCGGACGGGUGAGUAACACGUGGAUAACCUACCUAUAAGACUGGGAUAACUUCGGGAAACCGGAGCUAAUACCGGAUAACAUGUUGAACCGCAUGGUUCAACAGUGAAAGACGGUCUUGCUGUCACUUAUAGAUGGAUCCGCGCCGCAUUAGCUAGUUGGUAAGGUAACGGCUUACCAAGGCAACGAUGCGUAGCCGACCUGAGAGAGGGAUCGGCCACACUGGAACUGAGACACGGUCCAGACUCCUACGGGAGGCAGCAGUAGGGAAUCUUCCGCAAUGGGCGAAAGCCUGACGGAGCAACGCCGCGUGAGUGAAGAAGGUCUUCGGAUCGUAAAACUCUGUUAUUAGGGAAGAACAAAUGUGUAAGUAACUAUGCACGUCUUGACGGUACCUAAUCAGAAAGCCACGGCUAACUACGUG